AUCUCUGUCUCUCCACGCGCGAGUGACAUGUGAACUUUCCGUGCACCGGGAAUCUAUUCCUCUCAGUCUGAAGGGAGUCCGUGGUCUGGACGCUGCAACUACUGCCAAGGUUUUCCCACUCAUCUUCUUCUGGGGCAGCAGACUGUAAGAUAUCUCGAGACCAAACCAGAGGACUGAAGACAACACAAGCUGGACCACGUCUCCACCUGAUCUCUGUUUUAAUGCACCAAGUUGCUUCAGCCCUUUAUAACACCACAAACAGCCUGCAGAGUCGUGGAGGUUGAACAGACAGACAUCUCACUCUUAUGUCAAGCAUCAAUUAAAGCAAUUUUCGCCUUGGAAGUAAGUGUCUUCUUGCUCUGUUAGAGAUUAUUAACAUCUCCACUACAGCUGUAGUUGAUUUUUUUUCCUUCUCCCAAAAGUGCUGAAUUUUUACAUAAUGGCUGUAAUAUAUUAAUAAAACCAUGGGGAAAAUGUCAUAUAUUGUUGCAAAUUGUAUGUAGUUGUAAAAAUGUAUGAUUUAUAUUAUAUAUAUAUAUAUAUAUAUAUAUAUAUAUAUAUAUAUAUAUAUAUAUAUAUAAAUUUUAAAUUUAAUUUUUACAUUUAAUUUAUUUAAUUUUCAAUUUUUAAAUGUAUAUAAAAAUAUAUAUAUAUAUACACACACA
rnacentral:lncRNA from 1 species